CCUACCAAUGGUAACAUAUCUGAAGUUAGGGCUGAAGUUGACCAUCUUACUACUCGGUCCUUCUUGCAUUCAUUCAUUAUUUCUCCCUGAAAGUAACUCCAGCUUCUGGGCACCCAUUAACAUCUUCAUUUAGUCAUGUUCUCAGGUCAAUAUUUAUUGAAUAGCUGCUAUAUGCAAGGAAUUGUGCUGGUUCCUGGAGGACUAGGAAAAAAGAGUAAGGAAGUAUAGAGUCUUUGUCUUAGUAUUUAUAGCAGGAAAGGAAGAAAUGGAUUCUCUAUGUGUAAUUUAUCAGACUGAUAAUGUGUGCAGGUGUCGAAACUAUUGGGAGCGUGGCAAUUCAGAAAUGGGCGUGAUCUUACCCGGUGAGAUCAACUUCAGGAAAGAGAACACUGUGUAAGAUUGAAAGGUGUAUAUUUAUCUCGAGCUGUGCUUCACCUUUUGCCUUCUGUGGUGAGCACUCAACUUGGUGUUUCCUGGUGCAAUGUCCCUGAUCUCUCACAAGCUGCCUUCCAGAUCAUCUCCAAAUUCCAACAUGGAGCUCCACUUCAGCAGACAGGACUUCAUACAGCACAUUAUUGGAGAGGGAGCACUCUGAAACCAUGGGAUCCUUGAGUGACAAUCUGGGUAACCCAUCAAUAUGAUCUUCAAGGCCCUGUUGUCCUCUUUAGGCUCAACCCAUGGGAGUCUUUGAUUCCACUGGCUCUCCAGCUCCUGAGUCUAAGAAUCACUAGCAUGUGCCACCAUGUCUGAUGUAUGCUGAGGAUGAAGCCGGGGGCUUUGUGUGUGCCAGGCAAACACUCUACCAACUGAACUACAUUUCCAGGCAUGUCUGGCUUGUGGGAAGCCACCACCGCCAACACUAGAAGACAGACAGGACAGCCAAAACACGAAGUUCCUGUCUGGGAUGACCUGAACGUUUUUCUGGUUCCUGCUCUGUCUCAUGACUCACUCUUUUGGGUUUUGACAAAAUGCCAUCAAGUCUCAGAACACAGCCCACAUCAGUGGGAGCUGGAGUAACAGUUCUCCUGCCUCGUCCAGCUCCCUGCUCUCCCAAGCUCAGGACGCUGAGUGUGUGGACUCUGGGGUACUGCAUCGGAGAUUUUGGUUGCUACUGAGACUCAGUCAAAAAGACAGCUGCAAUAAAAUGAACCAGAUAGCAGAAAUAUGCCAAUUGUAAGAACAAGUCGAGCUGAAAGCCUGGUGCUGAGCCAACCUGUCAGCAGAGUGAAGAAGAAACCCGUCAACUGUCAAGGAGUGCAUCUCCCCAGGCAACACCAACUAUGCUCAGAGGUAGACUCCACACACCACAGAGCUCCGAAACAGCAGCUACGGAGUGAUUUCUGGUUCAGAUUCCAGCUCUAACUACUUCCUAGUGCUGUACGCCUGAUCAGGGGUUCAAAUCAUCUCUAAGCCUGUUUGCUUCCCUGAAUCUGUAAAAUGAGUGUAAGUACAUAAUUGAAUUAUUAUGGAGUUUAAAAUAAAAUGUAUGUGUAAUAUCCUUAUGAGAGCACAUGGC